AGUACGAUGGACGCCGUUAUUUUAGGAUCUCACAAGACGGGAGUCACGUGGUCCUGGGUCAGCCAAUCGAUUACGACGAUCUGUAUUUCCUCAACCAAACCUACUUCAUUUUAAACCUAACGGCCACUGACAACGGCUCGCCCGACCCCCUAACAUCCUCCACCAUACUGACCAUCCAAGUGACGGAUGCCGAUGACCAGGGUCCGUACUUCGUGUACCCUGACUGUCAGAGACUGGACAACUACUGCACCACGCCCUAUUUCCAAACGGUCAUCAAGUGCGGCUACACGGGCCUGCUGAGAAUUUACCCCGCCCCUAUACUGGCAGAAGACAGAGACACGAUGAACUACUCCAUCAGCUACAG